UAUGCGAUGUCGCAUGUCUGGACUUGUUCAGUGUUGCAAUUUUUACCCUUCGUUAAUAUCUUGUUGUUGUUGUCGUCUUGUGUUAGACGUUGAGCUUCGUAGCGAUGUGCGGUAACGCUACGAUUAUUCCUGAGCGCUCCGUGUGUUUAAUGCGUUGUCCUCUUUGCGUGCAUGCGUGUGCUUUUUUUCUCCUGAUUUGUGACGUCCUCGUGGCAUGUCUGGACUUGUUUAGCAGUGUUGCAGUUCUUCCCGCUGCUAGUAUCUUGUUGGUGUCAUGUUGUGCUAGCCGCGUGGCGAUGUGUGGUGACCUGAGGUCUUAAGCCUUUUCCCUGCUCACCUAAGGAAAUUUGUGUAUCCCUGUCCUGUGCUUUCUUUACGCAAGGGUAAUGCGACUGUGUAUGUGGCAUUAUGCAAGAAUUAUCUGGUGGCAGAAAUAGGCGUAUUUUUCUCAGUGUAUUGGCGUGCGCUACGGUUUCUUGCAGUUACAGCUAUUGGAGCACACAUACGUGUAAUUUUUCGCGGUUCUUUUCUCCUUUCACGGCUUUUACUCAGAAUGUAGAUGAGGGGAAACAGUCAGCAUCCAGGUAGAGCAGGAGAAAGCCGCUCGGCAGAGGAGAGAGUUCAUGAGAAUGGAAUUUGUUUGUUUGUUUUUUGUUAUAUGUUGAGUGUUAGUAUUCGCUUUCCUCGAUAUGUUGAGGAAGUCAGCCGUUAUAGGUAUUUGUGCAGAAAUGCUGGUAUCUGAGUGUGUGGAGUAGAAAUUCCUAUAAAGCACCUCUCCUUGUGCAUUCCUGAGCUGCUGUGUGCGCGCGCGUGCUUCUUUUUCCUGGAUUGCGACGUCAUGAUGGCAUGUUGGGGCUUGUUUAGCAGUGUUGCAAUUUUACCCGCUGCUAUUAUCUUGUUAUCUUGUGUUAGCCGCGUAGCGAUAAGCGGUGAUUCUCCGAUUAUUCCUGAGGUCUUAAGCCUUUUCCCUGCUCACCUAAGGAAAUUUGUGUAUCCCUGUCCUGUGCUUUCUUUGCGACAAUGCGUCUGUGUAUGUGGCACUAUCAGAUACCAGACAUGAGUGUCCUUUUCUUGGUUUAUUGGCAUAUGCUUCAGGUUUUUUUAAGUCAAGCACAAGUGCGCGCAAUUUUUCGCUGCUCUCUUCCUCAGAUCACCGAUUUUACGAAGAAGACAGUCGCAUGGUACAGCUGAGAAGAGGGUUUCUCUGAUUGUUUGUUUGAUUUUGUUGGGUGUUCGAUAUGUUGAGGAAGUCAGCUGUUAAAGGUAUCCGUGAAGAAAUGCUUGCACCUGAGCGCAGGAUAGGAAUUCCUGAAGCACGGCACCCUCAGUGUAAAUUAAUUAUGUUGGAUAUGAGUCUGCUUCCCUGCAUGACAAGGCUGAAAUGGGAAGAGAGAAAAAAUUGGAGCGCUUCAUUAGUAGCGAUCCAAGUAAUAGGGCAAUUAUAGUUUCCAUAGAAAGUAGAAUUUUAAUGGGCUCCUAAAAUUAUAGUUUAGUUGUAGUUUUUCUAAACUGCAAUGCAAUAAUCAUUAAUAUAGUAUAGGAAUGCUAUCGUGUUCCCGUAAAGGCGUUCUGUCUUGUGCUUUGGAAUGCGCGAAUAGAACUUUGCUCGCAGCCUUUCCCGCCUUCAUGCUCGCAAUGCGCGAAUGGAACUUUGCCCACCCGGCUUCCGCGCCUUUUUUGCUCGCGGGUGUAGCCUCAGACAACGAAUGUAUGAGCAUAGAAAGGGUCACGUAUUACAUAAGCCUGGAGGUGAUGUUGAGUGGUCUCACUUAUUAUUUUAAAAGAGCAGUGGCAGUUUACUGUAAUUCUAAUGACCAUGAUGAGCCUUUGGGGUGAAAAUCGUUAAUAUGCGGGUGCUUUUUUGUUGAAUUUUAAUGAGAGAAUCAAUGUCAUUAAGAGUAGGACAAAGGAAAUAAUCUUGCGAUUCAAUAAUUAAUAGAAGUCUUUGCCGCUGUCUUCUUCUUCUUCAGACAGGAUGUGAUGACGACACGCAGUCUGUAGCAAUGCAUUGACCGUCACUGGAAAAAAAGUGUAGCAAUAGAAAAAUGGUUGACCUUGUCUAGAGGAGCAUUAGUGGAAAAAAACUGUGUAGCCCUGAGACAAUAGGAUGCCGUUACGACCAAUGAGAACGGCCUGCAGGGGGCGCAAGGAUUCACUUCUCUCUUGGACACUGACGGGUCUCGACACGCAAAUUCUGCUCCUGGCGUUGGCCGUCAGUGGAAGAGCGUAGCUUAGGUGGAUUUUGUGACGAGCGGAUUUACAAUGAGGGAAUGCUGUGAACGGGAAAAAUGAUGAGCUGUCCUAACUUGCCCAGACAUGCCAUGAUGACGUCACAGCUGACGUCACAGGAUGUCCGGAACUUGUGGUCAUAGCUGGGAUGCUUUGCAACCUGCCUCUGUGCUCCGUCGCCCGGCGAUGGUCAGCGGCCUUUCCGGGCCGCUUCCUUCAAGAUGGCGUCGUUGAUCUUCAACUAAACUCCUUCUCUCCACUCUAUCUCUAUCUAUUUUUUUAUUUUUUAUGACCACGUUUAUCCGGAAACGCACAGGGUGGUCUGGACACUAGUUAGACGCUCCCCAAUUAGUGUGAUGACUCAUUGGAUGAUGCUGAUUAAUGUGGGGGGUCCCAAUUAGCUCUAAUUGCUAAUUAAUGGCGUCCAGAAGCCUUGUAGCGUUUCCGGAUAAGCGUGGUCAGUACUUACUACUUACG